GGAAGCCGAGCUGCUUGGGUUUCCCACCAUGGCCUGGGCCCCGCUCUUUCUCGUGCCAGUCCUAUACUUCUCAGGUUGUCUUGCCCAGUAUGUGAUGACUCAGCCACCUUCAGUGUCCAUCCCUUCAGGGGAAACUGCCAAACUCACCUGCACAGGAAGAAAUGUUGCUAGCCAUGGUGUGCAGUGGUUUCAACAGAAGCCUGGCAGUGCCCCUGUCCAGAUUAUAUACGAAAAUAGCAAAAGACCCUCUGGCAUUGCUGACCGGUUCUCUGGCUCCAAAUCAGAGAGCACGGCCACAUUGACCAUCACUGACAUCCAAGCCCAGGACGAGGCUGACUAUUACUGCCAGGCAUGGGAUAGUGACAGCAAUGCUCGACACGGUGACACUGGGCAAUGGGGAAGUUCCCUUGCCCAGUACGUGAACGUGAUGACAUAG